GACGAACGCUGGCGGCGUGCCUAACACAUGCAAGUCGAACGGAGAAUUAGCAAUAAUUCUUAGUGGCGAACGGGUGAGUAACGCGUAGACAACCUACCCUUUAGAUGGGGACAACACCGCGAAAGUGGUGCUAAUACCGAAUAUUGCUUGAGAAGCGCAUGCUUUUCAAACUAAAGAUGGCCUCUAUUUAUAAGCUAUCGCUAAAGAAUGGGUCUGCGUCUGAUUAGCUAGUUGGUGAGAUAAAAGCUCACCAAGGCAACGAUCAGUAGCCGGUCUGAGAGGAUGAACGGCCACCCUGGGACUGAGACACGGCCCAGACUCCUACGGGAGGCAGCAGUGGGGAAUCUUCCGCAAUGGACGAAAGUCUGACGGAGCAACGCCGCGUGAGUGAUGAAGGUUUUCGGAUCGUAAAACUCUGUUGUUAAGGACGAAUGUAUAGAUUGCGAAUAAUGGUUUAUAAUGACGGUACUUAACGAGGAAGCCACGGCUAACUACGUGCCAGCCGCCGCGGUAA
rnacentral:rRNA from 1 species